AUGAUGAAUAUUCUUCAGAUUUAUGUGAUGAAAAAAAAUAAUAUAAGCUAUAAAAGUUGUAUUAAUGAAAAUAUAGAUGAUAUAAUAAAACUUCAAAGAUGGAAUGGUGAUUUAAAAUUUGAUAUUGACCCCGAUUUUAAAGAAUCAUCAUCCGAUAUGGAUAAUUAUUCUGUUGAAUCUGGUAGUUUAUUGAAUUUUAAUAAAUAUAGUAUUAUUGAAAAUAACAUUUAUUCGAAUAAUGCAAAUUGUAAAAAAAGAAAAACUGAAAACAAGGCGAAUAAUUUUAUGCCAAAUAAUCAAUGUAAAGAGGAAGAUAAAAGAAUUAUGAAUGAAGAUUAUUAUAAAAAAAUAAUAGGUGAAAAAAACUAUGCCAACAUGGUUAACAAAUCUGAAUUUGUUAAUAAUAAAGGUAAUAACAAUUUUAUAGGUAAUGGAAAAAAUAAAAUAAAUAAUAAUAAUACAAAUUACAAACAUAAAGCUUUAACUGAAUUAAGUGAAAAAAUUAGUUUAAAAAAAAAAAAAUAUACAGGACGUACAGAUAGACAUAAUAAAAAGAAUAAUGUUUAUCCUGGUGAACACAAUGAUGCAUAUGCAUAUAAUGAAAAAAGAAAUGUAUUACAAGUAAACGAUUUUAAUAAUAAUAAUAAUUAUAAUAAUAAUAAUAAUAAUAAUAAUAAUAAUAAUAAUAAUAAGAGUUAUAACAAUAAAAAUUUUAAAUACAACAUGUCACAAAAAAAUCCUUAUAUAAAAAAAAAAUAUAACAAAAAAAAAAUAGAGUCGAAUUAUAAUACUAUAAUUGAAAAAGGUUUUGAUAACGCAUUAGAAGGUAAUAACAACAAUGGUUAUGCAAAUAAAAAUAAAAAUAAUAAAAAAGAUAAAAGAAAGAAAAAUAAAAAUUAUUAUAAUAAUGAAAACAGUUAUAAUAGUUAUUUAAAUGCAGCACAUGAUAUAUAUAAAACAAAAGAUUUUAGAAAGAAUCAAAGAAACGCUGAAAUAAACGAAGAACAAAUGAAUGGACUAUCGGAAAAAAACUUAGAAAUAGAUGGAGCAUAUGCAUAUAACUAUGCAUAUUUAAAUAAAAACGAUGAUUCGUCAAGUUCUAGCUCUAACAAUGCAACUAAUGAUACUAUAAUGAACUUAGAAGAAGAAAUUAAUAAUUAUAAGUUCAGCACAUUCUUAUGA
rnacentral:lncRNA from 1 species